AAUUUACGAUUUUUUUAUAUGUAUAAUUUUUUUAUAGAUAAUCAUAUUCUUGUAAUAAAAAUAUAUCGUAUUUUUUAAAUCAAGAUAUUUUUGCCUUGUUUUAGAUACAAAAAUUAGUGUUAUUUUAACGUAAGUUUACAUAAUACCUAAUUUUAACUACGUUUUAGAUAAAAAAAAAUUGUAUAUAGAUUUAACUUCUUUCUUUGACUUUUAUAUCAUAGAUGUUUGUUAUUAAUUGUUGGAAAAAAUCAAAACAUAUUCUACAAGUAUCAAAAUGUUAUUAUCGAAUUAAAAAGUAAGUAUUAAAGUUUAAAAAUCAAUUAUUAAGAAAGUGUUCGGUUAAUCGGGCCAACCCACUCGGUUUUCGGGCAC
rnacentral:lncRNA from 1 species